CACGUAGGGCGCAAGCGUUGUCCGGAAUUAUUGGGCGUAAAGAGCUCGUAGGCGGUCUGUUACGUCUGCUGUGAAAACCCGGGGCUUAACCUUGGGCUUGCAGUGGAUACGGGCAGACUAGAGGCAGGUAGGGGAGAAUGGAAUUCCCGGUGUAGCGGUGAAAUGCGCAGAUAUCGGGAGGAACACCGGUGGCGAAGGCGGUUCUCUGGGCCUGACCUGACGCUGAGGAGCGAAAGCGUGGGGAGCGAACAGG
rnacentral:rRNA from 1 species